AGAGUUUGAUCCUGGCUCAGGAUGAACGCUAGCGGCAGGCUUAAUACAUGCAAGUCGAGGGGCAGCACAGAUAGCAAUAUUGGGUGGCGACCGGCAAACGGGUGCGGAACACGUACACAACCUUCCUUUUGGUGGGGGAUAGCCUUUGGAAACGGAGAUUAAUACCCCAUAAUACAUUGAGACAGCAUUGUUUUGAUGUUAAAGAUUUAUCGCCGGAAGAUGGGUGUGCGUAUGAUUAGGUAGUUGGUAGGGUAACGGCCUACCAAGCCGACGAUCAUUAACUGGUGUGAGAGCACGACCAGUCACACGGGCACUGAGACACGGGCCCGACUCCUACGGGAGGCAGCAGUAAGGAAUAUUGGUCAAUGGACGGAAGUCUGAACCAGCCAUGCCGCGUGGAGGAUGAAGGUCCUCUGGAUUGUAAACUUCUUUUAUAGGGGGCGAAAAAAGGGAAUUCUUUCUCGUCUGACGGUACCCUAUGAAUAAGCACCGGCUAACUCCGUGCCAGCAGCCGCGGUAAUACGGAGGGUGCAAGCGUUAUCCGGAUUCACUGGGUUUAAAGGGAGCGUAGGCGGGCAUGUAAGUCCGUGGUGAAAGCCCUCAGCUCAACUGAGGAACUGCCAUGGAUACUAUAUGUCUUGAAUGUCGUUGAGGUUUGCGGAAUGGGUCAUGUAGCGGUGAAAUGCUUAGAUAUGACCCGGAACACCAAUUGCGAAGGCAGCAGGCUAAACGAAUAUUGACGCUGAGGCUCGAAAGUGUGGGGAUCAAACAGGAUUAGAUACCCUGGUAG
rnacentral:rRNA from 1 species